UAGACCUGUUUUACUCUUUUCUUUCAGCCA
rnacentral:piRNA from 1 species